rnacentral:rRNA from 1 species
AUUGAACGCUGGCGGCAUGCCUUACACAUGCAAGUCGAACGGUAACGGGCCUUCGGGUGCCGACGAGUGGCGAACGGGUGAGUAAUGCAUCGGAACGUACCUUUCAGUGGGGGAUAACGUAGCGAAAGUUACGCUAAUACCGCAUAUUCUGUGAGCAGGAAAGCAGGGGAUCGCAAGACCUUGCGCUGAUUGAGCGGCCGAUGUCAGAUUAGCUAGUUGGUGAGGUAAAGGCUCACCAAGGCGACGAUCUGUAGCGGGUCUGAGAGGAUGAUCGGCCACACUGGGACUGAGACACGGCCCAGACUCCUACGGGAGGCAGCAGGGGGGAAUUUUGGACAAUGGGGGCAACCCUGAUCCAGCCAUGCCGCGUGAGUGAAGAAGGCCUUCGGGUUGUAAAGCUCUUUCGGCCGGGAAGAAAUCGCACAGGCUAAUACCUUGUGUGGAUGACGGUACCGGAAUAAGAAGCACCGGCUAACUACGUGCCAGCCGCCGCCGUAACAC